GCCAUUGUAGUGUAUCGGUAGCACACUCGGCGCGUAUUCAGGAGGUCCAGGUUCGAGUCCCAGCAAGGGCA
rnacentral:tRNA from 1 species